rnacentral:misc_RNA from 1 species
UGUGGGAGCGGGCUUGCUCGCGAAUGCUGUUCGGCACUCAAUACAAGGUUGACUGUCAGAAUGCAUUCGCGAGCAAGCCCGCUCCCACA